UGGGGAAUUAUGCAGAAGGCAAUUAUGUGAUGUCCUGAACCUCAACACCUGUACAGUGAUGUAUAAACAUCAAGAAAAUACAUGAUCAAGUUCUUGCAGAUAUCAAAAACAUGGAAGCAGAGGUGCAAUCAUUAGAAGAGAUUUCAAAGCAGCUAUUCCUGGAAAUAUAUGAGCUUCAUCAAGUAAAGGUUGAUUCACUUUGGUUGGCUUCCUUUGAU